UACGUAGGGUGCGAGCGUUAAUCGGAAUUACUGGGCGUAAAGCGUGCGCAGGCGGUUUUGUAAGCCAGAUGUGAAAUCCCCGGGCUUAGCCUGGGAAUGGCAUUUGGGACUGCAAGGCUUGAGUGCGGCAGAGGAGACUGGAAUUCCUGGUGUAGCAGUGAAAUGCGUAGAUAUCAGGAGGAAUACCGAUGGCGAAGGCAGGUCUCUGGGCUGACACUGACGCUCAUGCACGAAAGCGUGGGGAGCAAACAGG
rnacentral:rRNA from 1 species